rnacentral:lncRNA from 1 species
AAUAAUAGAUCAAUAGAGACUGAGUAUGCUGUAGAUGUGUAGGAUAAAUUUUGAUUGUAAUAUUAGUUGUAGAACUGGAUGCUAUGCCAUUAGAUGCCAUGACAUAGUACUACAAAGACCAUAGCACCAUAGCCCUUGCUAAGGUCUUGCCAGAAGUUCAAAUAUAUAGAGCACUGAUAUAUGCUACUACCUCAUAUCG